GGCCCAGUGAUGAUCAAGUAUCGCGCUAAGAGAGAACAGGUCCAGCAGUCAGCGUCUGGGCAGCCUGCACUUCAUGCUUUUCCUCCUCUUUACUCUUUCAUAUCACCUUUCUUUCUCUCUGCUUUUUUUUCCCUCCUCACCUUUUCUUGUCUUUUCUGCUUUGCUCUUCUGCCCAGAUAAGACUGUGGCCUCCUCAAUGAUGGCUAAGAUUAUGAGAUCUGAGGGCU
rnacentral:misc_RNA from 1 species